rnacentral:rRNA from 1 species
CACUUUUAGAAAUUAUUAAAAGCUAAUCCUGCUCCAUGUAAAUAAAUAGCCGCAAAUCCAAUUGUGCUAAGGUAGCAUAAUCAAUUGUCUUCUAAUUAAAGAAUAGAAUGAAAGGAACCACGAAUUAUAAACUGUUUCUUAUUUUUUAUAUAAAACUGUAUUUUAAGUAAAAAUACUUAUAAACAAAGAAAGACGAUAAGACCCUAUUGAACUUCACAUAAGUUAAGCUGGGGAAGCAAAAUAACAAAAUCUUAUUUUUUUAAAAAAAAUAACCUUUAUGAAUUUUGAAUAAGUUACCAUAGGGAUAACAGCAUAAUAAAAUUUUAAAGCUCUUAUUUAAAAUAAAGUUUAUGACCUCGAUGUUGAAUUAAAUUUCUUAUAAAAGCAUAAAUUUAUAAAGUAAGACUGUUCGUCUUUUAAACAUUU